AUUGAACGCUGGCGGCAGGCCUAACACAUGCAAGUCGAGCGAGCGGCGGACGGGUGAGUAAUGUCUGGGAAACUGCCUGAUGGAGGGGGAUAACUACUGGAAACGGUAGCUAAUACCGCAUACCAUCAGAUGUGCCCAGAUGGGCUUAGCUAGUUGUUGGGGUAAUGGCUCACCUAGGCGACGAUCCCUAGCUGGUCUGAGAGGAUGACCAGCCACACUGGAACUGAGACACGGUCCAGACUCCUACGGGAGGCAGCAGUUGGGAAUAGUGCACAAUGGGCGCAAGCCUGAUACAGCCAUGCCGCGUGUUUGAAGAAGGCCUUCGGGUUGUAAAGCACUUGCAGCGAGGAGGCGUUACUCGCAGAAGAAGCACCGGCUAACUCCGUGCCAGCAGCCGCGGUAAUAC
rnacentral:rRNA from 1 species